rnacentral:rRNA from 1 species
UGCUUCUUGAAUAUUAUAAGAAGUAUCUUCCUGCCCAGUGAUAUUUAAACGGCCGCGGUAUCCUAACCGUGCAAAGGUAGCAUAAUAAUUUGUCUAUUAAUUGUAGACUAGAAUGAACGGAAUAACAAAAUAAGUGCUGUAUCAACUUGACUUAUAUAAACUAUUAUUAAAGUGAAGAAACUUUAAUUAAAUAAAAGGACAAGAAGACCCUAUAGAGCUUUAUUAUAAAUCAAUUAUUAAUUGAUACUAAUUCGGUUGGGGCGACCUAGGAAAAAUCAUCCUUUAUAUAAAAGAUCUACCAAUCAUUCUUCAGACCCUUUAUCAAGAUCACAGAAUUAAGCUACCUUAGGGAUAACAGGCUAAUCCUAUUAUAGAGCUCUUAUCGACAAUAGGGAUUGGCACCUCGAUGUUGGCUUAGAAAAUCUGUGCGGCGCAGAAGUCGCAACAAGAUGGUUUGUUCAACCAAUAAUUUUCU